ACGGGUGAGUAACACGUAAACAAUCUACCCUAAGGUGGGGAAUAACUAUCCCAACGGAUAGCUAAUACCGCAUAAGGAUGGGGACGGCAUCGUCCCUUCUCGAAAGAUUUUAUCGCCUUAGGAUGAGUUUGCGGCCCAUUAGCUUGUUGGCGGUGUAACGGACCACCAAGGCGACGAUGGGUAUCCGGCCUGAGAGGGUGUACGGACACAUUGGGACUGAGAUACGGCCCAGACUCCUACGGGAGGCAGCAGUAGGGAAUUUUGCGCAAUGGGGGAAACCCUGACGCAGCAACGCCAUGUGUGGGAUGAAGCAUUUCGGUGUGUAAACCACUGUCAGCAGGGAAUAAAUGGCUCCUUCGGGGGCAGUUGAAUGUACCUGCAAAGGAAGCCCCGGCUAACUUCGUGCCAGCAGCCGCGGUAAUACGAGGGGGGCAAAUGUUGCUCGGAAUCACUGGGCGUAAAGGGAGCGUAGGCGGACUUUUAAGUUAGGUGUUUAAUCCCGGGGCCCAACCCCGGACAGGCACCUAAAACUGGAAGUCUUGAAUAGUGGAGAGGACGGCGGAAUUGGGGGUGUAGCGGUGGAAUGCGUAGA
rnacentral:rRNA from 1 species